UUUUUUCCAAUCUUCCCUCACAGGUCAUGUUUUCUAGACUUUUAAUCAUUUUUGUUGCUCUUCUCUGGACUUUCUCCAAUGUGUCCACAGCUUUCCUGAAAUGUGGACCCAGAACUGGACAUAAUAUGCCAGUUGAGGCCUAAGCAGCGCAAAGUAGAGCAGGAGAAUUAUUUCUCAUGUCUUGCUUAUAAUUCUCUUCAUCCCAAAA